UACGUAGGGGGCAAGCGUUGUCCGGAAUCAUUGGGCGUAAAGAGCGUGUAGGCGGCCAGAAAAGUCCGCUGUGAAAACUCGAGGCUCAACCUCGAGACGCCGGUUGAAACCAUCUGGCUAGAGUCCGGAAGAGGAGAGUGGAAUUCCUGGUGUAGCGGUGAAAUGCGCAGAUAUCAGGAAGAACACCCGUGGCUAAGGCGGCUCUCUAGUACGGUACUGACGCUGAGACGCGAAAGCGUGGGGAGCGAACAGG
rnacentral:rRNA from 1 species